GCCAGGCAUGGUGGCACAUGCCUGUAAUCCCAGCUACUUGGGAGGCUGAGGCAGGGGAAUCGCUUGAACCCAGGAGGCAGAGGUUGCAGUGAGCCGAGACUGCACCACUGCACUCCAGCCUGGGUGACAGAGUGAGACUCUGUCUCAA
ensembl:misc_RNA Metazoa_SRP Metazoan signal recognition particle RNA